UGCAGUGUUGCAACCUGAAUAGGGAAAGCAGAUACAGCCUCGCAAGGUGACCUGACAGGCUCCAGAAGAAAAGUUUCACUAGAAUUCAAUAAGGAAACCAAAGAAUUGCUCAGAUAGAAGAACAUUUCAGUCCUGAUAUUUGCUGUAACUAAUAACUACUGGAUAAACAAAGAAGGCACAUGGAGGAUCUUUUACCUGGGUCCAACAAAACAACAGCAGCAAGUUGAAAAAAGCAAAAAAAAAAAAAAAAAAAAAAAAAAAAAAAAAAAAAAGAGAGACCAAGGUGCAAUUACAAUCCUAUCCCACAAAGAGGUCAAAGGCUACCCAAAAGACCAGUCGGCCGCAGGAUCCUCAAAUCAUCUAAGCCAUUCGUAUACUCUUAGGUAUGUUACAGAUGGUCUCCAAUUUUAUUUGUAUCUGAAUUUGUGGAGAGGAUGCAGGGAAAAUCAUGUUUGUUGGCUUACCUAUCCCGACACAGACAUCAGGUUACUACUAAAACACACGAUUCUACAGUUGUACUACCAGUAACAGUUCAAAAAGUACUUUCCUCAUAUGUUAUCUACAUUUGAUGCUAAAUGUACUUGUGAGUUAUGUAAUAAUGUCCUCUUGCAUAUAUAAUGUUUAUCAAUAAACCAACAUCAUGAAUCUGCCCAAUAAAAUCAGGUUUAAACAUGGGUUUCCAGUUCCAGAUUUUUCCUCCAGACCUUGCUUCUUCCAAAUCUUUCCUUUUGUAGUAGAUUUACACGUUUCAUCAAAAUAAGUCUAGUUGACAUGUUUAAGGUAAUUCUUUAACUUUCCAACCAUAUUCUUCUUUAUUGCUUAUCAUUUUACCUGCUGGUUGUCAUUUGAAAUUCUGUCCUUUCCCUGGAAUCUGAAGUAAGUUGGUAAAGACUCAGAAUUCCUAAUGUUGCAAUGCAUUAUUUACUUUUGUAGUACAUUUACACAUUCCAUCAAGAUGAGUCUAUUUGACAUAUUUAAGGUAAUUUGUUAACUUUCCAACCAUGUUCUUCUUCAUUGCUUAUCAUUUUACCUGCUGGUUGUCAUUUGCAAUCCUCUCGUUGCCCUGGAAUCUGAAGUAAGUUCGUAAAGAUGUAGAACUCCUAAUGUUGCAAUGCAUCAUUUCUAGGAUUUAACUGACUUCCCUG
rnacentral:lncRNA from 10 species